UACGUAGGGGGCGAGCGUUGUCCGGAAUCAUUGGGCGUAAAGCGCGUGUAGGCGGCUCGAUAAGUCCGGUGUGAAACCUUGGGGCUCAACCCCAAGCCUGCACUGGAUACUGUCGAGCUAGAGUCCGGGAGGGGAGAGCGGAAUUCCUAGUGUAGCGGUGAAAUGCGCAGAUAUCAGGAAGAACACCGAUGGCGAAAGCAGCUCUCUGGGACGGUACUGACGCUGAGGCGCGAAAGCGUGGGGAGCGAACAGG
rnacentral:rRNA from 1 species